UACGUAGGGGCCGAGCGUUGUCCGGAGUUACUGGGCGUAAAGCGCGCGCAGGCGGCUGUUCAAGCCUGACGUGAAAGACCCCGGCUCAACUGGGGAGUGUCGUGCGAUACGGUCGGACUGGAGGCCAGUAGGGGGAUGCGGAAUUCCGGGUGUAGUGGUGGAAUGCGUAGAGAUCCGGAGGAACACCAGCGGCGAAGGCGGCAUCCUGGACUGGUCCUGACACUCAUGAGCGAAAGCGUGGGGAGCGAUCCGG
rnacentral:rRNA from 1 species